UUAGUGGCGGACGGGUGAGUAACGCGUGGAAAACCUGCCGUAUACUGGGGGAUAACACUUAGAAAUAGGUGCUAAUACCGCAUAAGCGCACAGCUUCGCAUGAAGCGGUGUGAAAAACUCUGGUGGUAUACGAUGGUUCCGCGUCUGAUUAGCUAGUUGGUGGGGUAAUAGCCUACCAAGGCAACGAUCAGUAGCCGGCCUGAGAGGGUGAACGGCCACAUUGGGACUGAGACACGGCCCAAACUCCUACGGAAGGCAGCAG
rnacentral:rRNA from 1 species